UAGGGAAUCUUCCGCAAUGGACGCAAGUCUGACGGAGCAACGCCGCGUGAGUGAAGAAGGAUUUCGGUUCGUAAAACUCUGUUGUUAGAGAAGAACAGCGCAUAGAGUAACUGUUAUGCGUGUGACGGUAUCUAACCAGAAAGCCACGGCUAACUACGUGCCAGCAGCCGCGGUAAUACGUAGGUGGCAAGCGUUGUCCGGAUUUAUUGGGCGUAAAGCGAGCGCAGGCGGUCAAUUAAGUCUGAUGUGAAAGCCCCCGGCUCAACCGGGGAGGGUCAUUGGAAACUUGUUGACUUGAGGGCAGAAGAGGAGAGUGGAAUUCCAUGGGUAGCGGUGAAAUGCGUAGAUAUAUGGAGGACCUCCAGUGGCGAAGGCGACUCUCUGGUCUGUAACUGACGCUGAGGCUCGAAAGCGUGGGUAGCAAACAGG
rnacentral:rRNA from 1 species